UCAUAAACUUGUUUGUGAAACGGAACAUGCAAUUAUUUUUUUCACAUCUCUCUACAGGAAGAGCUCAGCUUUACAAGUGUGUGUGUGUGUGUGUGUGCUACUGCAUUCAUGAAAAGAUGAAAAAGUGUUUCUUAACUGCACAACUGUGAUUGUAGGCCUACUAUAAAUAUGGACAAAACAUUA